ACAGAAGCGGAACGCGCGUCGAGAGCGCCCUGUCCGCUCGCCCCAGACAGAUGCCCGGUUAUUCAUUACCGCGAGGCCUAGAGGAAAGAGUGGCUGCCGUCUUCCUGCCCACAGCCCGCCGGACCCUCCGUCGCGGCUGCCCGGUCCCCGGAGCCGCAGCCGCCGAGCCCGGCUGUGCGUGUCGUGGCUGCUGGGGAGAAAGAGGCUUCCGGAAGCCCCAGAGAGAUUGGUGAGGGUGAUUUCCCAGGAAGACGCAGUGUGCUCUGACUUCUGUGACAGUGAGCAACGGGACCAGUGGAUGUCCAGAUGCUGGCAAUGAGACAUGCUCUGGAGUCAGAAGACAGCGAAAAGAGAAGCAGAAGCCCCGGUGGCAAGAGUCUGAAGCAGGAAGGAUGACUGUAGCCUGUGGAUUGUACUGCAGUAGGAAACUGUCCUAGCAAGGCUCCACUUUGCCCCAGCUUCAAGCUGGAAAGGAGGAGAACAUGAAACAUUGCUUGAAGACAAUGGCCGAGACAGCAGGUCCCACCCUGCACAGCCACCAGCAUCUCUCCCCUCAGCCCUGUCUCCUCUUCUGCAGUUGGGAUCUGCACAUUUAAGCCUGAAAUUGUCCUGUGAAGUGAAGUAUGAUCGGACAGCCUCUUUUCAGCUUUUAUGACAAUGGAGACAGAGGAAUUGUGGCUCUUGCCAAGGUCACAGGAUUGGAAUACAGAGCCAAGCCACCCCAGGACAUGCAAGAGCCUCAGAAGGGAAAAAAGCCCAGCAGGAAGGGAGAACAAGUAGCCUCUGUCCUGAAGUUGUAACAGCCAGGGGCCAGGAUGGAGGAGGAGGACCCCAUAAUCUGCCCAUCUGGGACUUGGCAGGGGACCUGGGAAAAUGUACCCCAACCCAUCCCUUAAGGGCCUUUGUCUUUGGCCCAUUGGCCUAGCAUCUACUUCUUCACCGUGUCUGUUCUUGUCACACCUAGUCAGGUCUGUUUGGGUCUGAGGUGCAUGGAACAUUCUGGGUAGGCCUCCAGCAAACGGAAGCUCUUCACCGUGUUUCCAGCCUGGGACCAAGGGCAGCAUACUGGCAAAGUUGCCAAAGCAAGGGACUCCAGCCUCUUAGGAGUUAAUGACUCCCUCUCCCCAGCUGUCCUCCCCUUGGUGCUCCUCUUCCUCCCUCCUCCUGCUCACAGCAGGCAGGGCCUAGACCCGGGAGCCAUGCUGCUGUGCUGUUGCCAGGGGAGCACGGAGGCAGAUCUGAGCUAUGCAGGGAAAAGGCCCAGCCUGUCAAAGUGUCUGAGAUGAACCGCCGCCGUCCCUGUGCAGCUGGGCUCAGACGUGUCUCAGCUCUUGUUCUGUGCCUGAGAAUGGCGAAACCCAGUGAGGUUCAAGGGCAAACUCGCUAUUCAUUAGUCAGGGGUUCUUGACGUCCCGUCUCUCCCAGGGAUGAGUUCCCCCCUCCUCUUUCUCCCCCUCCUAUGACACAUUCCUGGGUGCCUUUGGUGAGGACUGCACACCCUCCUCCUGCCUAGCCCCCUCUCCAAAGGCCCCUGAAUAAACUCCCCCCAAGGAGACCAGGCAGGGCAGAGACAAUGGCUGCAGGAAAUCAUUCAGGCGGGACAUGCUGGCCUGCCCUCCACCCAGUCCCCCUGUGGGCCCCACUCCCUUCUGAUUCAGGGCACCCUUGGGCCCCCAGCCUAUACAGGCCUGGACAGGAAGAAACCACUGGGAACCACCCUAAGGACAACAUGCUAGUCCAGUGCCAUUCUUCGCUGGCUCUGUGGGUGCCUUUGUGGCCUGUACCGACUGGCUGGCUAAUUUUGUGGUUUCUGUACCAUCACAUGCCUAUUUUAAGACACUCUCCAGCACUGUCGGUUAGGGAGUGUAAAUUUUGCAAUAUUUUCUGAAAUGUGGCAAUAUCAAAAUGUAAAAGGCACACAUACUUGGUCACAAACAAAUGGCACUAUUUACUCUGUGGGCAUAUUUGUAAAAGUUGCCAAAGAAUUAUAUACAAGGAUGUUCAUCAGAGCAUUUCUUUUGAAGAGUAAAGAAAUGGACAUG
rnacentral:lncRNA from 1 species